GUCUCUUCUUGUGUCGUCUGUUUGGCGCUAUAGUACUUCAGCCAUUUAAUGAUGCUCUCUCCACACUGGGAUAAAUAAAAACAAACACAUCACAUCUAAUGUGGACAUAUCAGAUGCCUUGUGAAACAUAAAGGAACAAUUCAGUUUCGAGCUAUGGCACUUGCCGCAUAGAUGUGGGGGGGCCUUGCACCAAUAGUGAUAGUUACCACUGCAUUUAGAAAUUGAAAGCAUUCGUGCAGACAAGGAUGAUUCUUUAUAUUUUUGGCUACCACUUCAAAUGCCUCCACCAAGUGUUACAAUGCUGCACGCAGCCAUACUAAGGAUCUCGCAACAACACCUGCAGGUAAAAAGCAGAAGCAGUCAAAGUGCUGGUGUGUUCUGGACACUAUGUUUGAAAACUUUUAGGCAAGAAGAGUGCAAGAAGCAGACAUAACUGCAUUUAUUUCCAUAAUUCCCCAUUUAAAUGGCCUUUUCUUUUUGCUUAGACAAUGCCUACGCCUAGCCACAGCAGCUCCCUCAUACAGACUCCGCAAACCAAGAGGCCGUGGAGGCAAAUGCAGGCAGCCAGCACACCUCGAACAGCCACCUUGACUGCGGGUGUGUCACCCUAGUCGCCAAGGAAACAUUUGAGGGAAAGUGACAGGCAAUGUGAACAGCCACUCCUCCAUGUAAACAAUACUCUUUCUCUCGGAUGACUCCUACGCCUCACCACGCCAGCACACUUGUGCACAAAGAUGCCGCAGAGGCACGUGCAGGUCAGAGGCAAGAAGCAGUGGCACUGGUGUCGACAUUUACCCAAUUUCUUUUUCUUACACUGAGGCAGCCAGCACACCUCGAACAGCCACCUCGACUGCGGGUGUGUUAGUUGAUCCCUGUUGUACAUAUGCUCAUAAUAAACUUCAGUAAACUUGAACUUCAUAAUAAACUUGAAGGCAAAUGGUA